GCUAUUUCAUUCAAAUGUCUGAAAAAAUCAAUUGACUAUUCCCUUUUCCUAAAGGGCAGAGACAGAUAAUCUCACUUCCAGAGAAAUGACUUGGAGAAAAAAAAGUGUUGGUCUUUUUGCUCUUUUGUAAUUAAAUCCGGAUGUACCUCAAAAGACUUAAGACUGUGGUGAUAAGAUGCUUUCCUCAGCAGAAAGGAGGGAAAAAAAACAACUGGAACUCAAAGCUUGAAAUUCUGUGGCAAAACAUGAGAUGUCCAGGAUUGGAGGUUGAAAAGAUUUCACUACAGUGUUCUGCAAUAGUUGGAGCAGAUAACUUUCAGUGUAGCCACAGCCAUGGACUCCAGAUUUCCAGAUUUUCAAGACCUGGACCUGGAACCCGAAAGAGCUUGUCACGAUGCGGCAGGAACACUGGAGUCCUGUGCCUCCUGAUUGCUGAGUGUUCACCUGGACCUUCUGACUACCUUCCCUGUGCUAUUCCAUCAGCCUACAGACCUGGUACCUGGAUUUUUGCCCGAGAUGAUUCCUACCACCUUACUACUGACGAAGACACCCAUUCCAGUGGACCACUGUGACCCAGGAGGCAUUCAGCCAUCAUGAUGUGGCCUUUACCUCCACUCCUGUCUUGUUCUACCCAGAUUCAGCACAGCCCUUUAUAGUGAAGUCAGAGUCCUCAAGCCAAAUAGCUAAAGCUGUUUUAUCACAACAAAGGCCUAGUUUGUUCCAUGAGUGUGCAUUUCAUUUCUUCAGUUAAAGCCUUCAGAGACACACAAUAAAUUUGGACCAGGGGAUUUUUUAGUUAUUAAUGCUCUCUGAAGAAAGGCAACAUCUUUUUGAGAGCAGCAUUGGACCACACCCCACAAUCUCAAAUGAUUGAAAUUCAUGAACAUCUAGGAUCCCGUGAAGGUCACUGGACCCUGUUUUUUCUACUUCAA
rnacentral:lncRNA from 1 species